CUGAGCAGGAGCGCAGUAAUUUGCAAACAGAUUUGCUCACCAACUGCGAAGAUGUUCAUCAAUAUGAGAAGAUUUUCAUGGCAGAAAAGCGGUUCGAAUAUAGAUACGCCACAGAGGACGAGCUAGGAGAAAUGAAGCAGAAAGAAUUUUCUGGAUGGAUGUUUACUUAUGUGUCUGCUGGUUUGGCCAGAGGUGAAACAUUUGACGAUUGGAUACGCGAGAUGGUC